GGUACCGCCUGCCCAGUGAUUCUUUUAACGGCCGCGGUAUCCUAACCGUGCAAAGGUAGCAUAAUCACUUGUCCCCUAAAUAGGGACUAGUAUGAACGGCUAAAUGAGGACUAAACUGUCUCUUAUAGGCUGACCAAUGAAAUUGAUCUCCCAGUACAAAAGCUGGGAUAAAACCAUAAGACGAGAAGACCCUGUGGAGCUUCAAACCAAACACACCUAGUAUGUCCUUUAGGUUUUUAGUUGGGGCGACUUCGGAGAAAAAGAAAACCUCCAAAAAGUGAUUAUCCACAUUAUUUAGACCCACACAUCAAAACAACAACACAAGACCCAGCAACUCACCCAACGUUGUCUGAUCAAUGAACCAAGUUACCCCAGGGAUAACAGCGCCAUCCCCUUCUAGAGUCCAUAUCGACAAGGGGGUUUACGACCUCGAUGUUGGAUCAGGACACCCCAAUGGUGCAGCCGCCAUUAAAGGUUCGUUUGUUCAACGAUUAAAGUCCUA
rnacentral:rRNA from 1 species